UAAAAUUUAUGAAAUUAGGUAAUAAAGAAUUUUCCGAAACCUAAAGAAUUUGGCGGUAUUCUAAAUAAUUGGAGGAACCUGUUAUAUAAUUGACAAUCCACAACAUAUCUUACCUAAAUUUUAUUUGUAUAUCGUCGUUUUUGAUUAUAUUUAAAAAUAAUAAUCAAGAUUAAUUAAUUUUUUAAAGAAAUCAGAUCAAGGUGCAGUAUAUUUUGGUAAUAAUGGGUUACAAUAUAAAUUAUAUAUAAUGAAUAAUACAUGAAAAUUAUUUUGAAAGUGGAUUCAAAAGUAAUUUUAAAUUAAGUUGUUAUUAUGAUUAAAAAUUUAGAAUAUGC
rnacentral:rRNA from 1 species